UUGAACGCUGGGCGGCAGGCCUAACACAUGCAAGUCGAGCGGAAACGGCAGUAUUGAAGCUUCGGUGGAUUUACUGGACGUCGAGCGGCGGACGGGUGAGUAACGGCUGGGAACCUGCCCUGACGAGGGGGAUAACCGUUGGAAACGACGGCUAAUACCGCAUAAUGUCUACGGACCAAAGGUGGCCUCUACAUGUAAGCUAUCGCGUUGGGAUGGGCCCAGUUAGGAUUAGCUAGUUGGUAAGGUAAUGGCUUACCAAGGCAACGAUCCUUAGCUGGUUUGAGAGGAUGAUCAGCCACACUGGGACUGAGACACGGCCCAGACUCCUACGGGAGGCAGCAGUGGGGAAUAUUGCACAAUGGGGGAGACCCUGAUGCAGCCAUGCCGCGUGUGUGAAGAAGGCCUUCGGGUUGUAAAGCACUUUCAGCAGUGAGGAAGGUCGUGUACUUAAUACGUGCACGGCUUGACGUUAGCUGCAGAAGAAGCACCGGCUAACUCCGUGCCAGCAGCCGCGGUAAUACGGAGGGUGCGAGCGUUAAUCGGAAUUACUGGGCGUAAAGCGCAUGCAGGCGGUUUGUUAAGUCAGAUGUGAAAGCCCGGGGCUCAACCUCGGAACCGCAUUUGAAACUGGCAGGCUAGAGUCUUGUAGAGGGGGGUAGAAUUUCAGGUGUAGCGGUGAAAUGCGUAGAGAUCUGAAGGAAUACCAGUGGCGAAAGGCGGCCCCCUGGACAAAGACUGACGCUCAGAUGCGAAAGCGUGGGUAGCAAACAGGAUUAGAUACCCUGGUAGUCCACGCCGUAAACGCUGUCUACUUGGAGGUUGAGGUUUUAGACUUUGGCUUUCGGCGCUAACGCAUUAAGUAGACCGCCUGGGGAGUACGGCCGCAAGGUUAAAACUCAAAUGAAUUGACGGGGGCCCGCACAAGCGGUGGAGCAUGUGGUUUAAUUCGAUGCAACGCGAAGAACCUUACCUACUCUUGACAUCCAGCGAAGCCUUUAGAGAUAGAGGUGUGCCUUCGGGAGCGCUGAGACAGGUGCUGCAUGGCUGUCGUCAGCUCGUGUUGUGAAAUGUUGGGUUAAGUCCCGCAACGAGCGCAACCCUUAUCCUUGUUUGCCAGCACGUAAUGGUGGGAACUCCAGGGAGACUGCCGGUGAUAAACCGGAGGAAGGUGGGGACGACGUCAAGUCAUCAUGGCCCUUACGAGUAGGGCUACACACGUGCUACAAUGGCAGAUACAGAGGGCAGCGAGACAGCGAUGUUUAGCGAAUCCCUUAAAGUUUGUCGUAGUCCGGAUUGGAGUCUGCAACUCGACUCCAUGAAGUCGGAAUCGCUAGUAAUCGUGGAUCAGAAUGCCACGGUGAAUACGUUCCCGGGCCUUGUACACACCGCCCGUCACACCAUGGGAGUGGGCUGCACCAGAAGUAGAUAGCUUAACCUUCGGGAGGGCGUUUACCACGGUGUGGUUCAUGACUGGGGUGA
rnacentral:rRNA from 1 species